rnacentral:rRNA from 1 species
UUGUCGUCAGCUCGUGUCGUGAGAUGUUGGUUAAGUCCCGCAACGAGCGCAACCCUCGCCUCUAGUUGCCAGCAUUCGGUUGGGCACUCUAGAGGGACUGCCGGCGACAAGUCGGAGGAAGGUGGGGAUGACGUCAAAUCAUCAUGCCCCUUAUGACCUGGGCUACACACGUGCUACAAUGGGCGGUACAAAGGGCUGCGAACCCGCGAGGGGGAGCGAAUCCCAAAAAGCCGCUCUCAGUUCGGAUUGCAGGCUGCAACUCGCCUGCAUGAAGCCGGAAUCGCUAGUAAUCGCGGAUCAGCAUGCCGCGGUGAAUACGUUCCCGGGCCUU